rnacentral:lncRNA from 1 species
AGCUCUUCAAAAGCCAUCGUGCCCCAAUUACAGCAUUCUUUUCUAUGGGCCACUGUAGUGUUAAGUGCAGCUCUCCUUCCUCAUUAAGCAAAUACUUUACCUCAGUUUCCAUCAGAGGAAGACAGCUUUCUUUUGCGUUUUUAUUCCAUCUGCAUUGUACUCUUGCCAGAGAUGGUUUAAUGGAUGAGCUGAGUGUGAUGGCUAAUCUUAACUUGGGGAAAAUUAAGGAGAAUAUUUGACUCUCACAUUCUCAAGGAGUUAUCUGAAAAUAAUUCGGUCUCCUUUUUAGGACUCUAAAGGAAUGAAGGAAAGUGGGAGGUAGGAGAGAGGUCUAGAGAUCAUGCAGCCUCAAACUUAAUACAUUUAUAACAAAGCUUUUCUUCUCCCCUUUAUGCUCACCUGUUAAAUUCACAGUAUCUACCCUCCAGAAAAGACAAAAGGGCAACCAGGAUAUGCACAAUCCAACGAGCUGAAGUAGAAGCCAGACACGUCUGUGGCCACACCACACAACUGGUGAUCUUUCCAACACAGAAGAGUGUCAAAUUUUGAUGACUAAACUGUACUGUUGUGCUCUUACAAGACGGAAAUGAAAAUAAAGACUGAGAAGUGAAUGUGGGAUUAGCAUCAUUGGUGUGAGGGAAAUAGAGAUUAUAACAAUCCAAGGUGAUAGAAUAAAUGAAAUUUCUCCAUAGUCAAGGAAUAGUGUCAGAGCAAUGGCAAUUUUAAACAUAUCACACCAAUAAAUAUUGCAAGGUAAUUAAAUCACCCAAUUCCUACUUGCUUUGAGGUCAAGCUGAAUUAACUGGUCAUAUAAAUCUUUAAAACCUUCACAUUGUUAUUUUAAUACUAAUCUACUUAGAGGGUGUAUUGGGUAAAAGAGAAGUAUUACGCACAAAUAUCAAGUGCAGUGUCUGCUACUUUACUUAUGCCUUCCUUUCAAUUAAAAUACUUUAAAUGAUGAGAAGAUACGCCCUAAAAUAAAAUCCUGAAGGUGAUCUUCAGUAGGAACCUCUCUGAAUGCAAAUCAAUAAUUCAAUUGUGGAUGUAUGUAAAUAUAUAUAUAUAGAGAGAGGUGGCUCAGUGUAUAAGACCAUCAUUUCCUCCCUUUCCAGAAGACCCAAGUUCAGUUCCUAGCACCCAAAUUGGGUGAUUCACAGAUGCCUGUAAUUCCAGCACCCAAGAAAAGAAUCCAAUGCCCUCUUCUGUGCUCCUUGGGCAACACACACACAGAGAGAGAGAGAGAGAGAGAGAGAGAGAGAGAGAGAGAGAGAGAGAGAGAUUCAUUUAAAUACUUUAAAUAAUUUAAGACCCUAAUGUAUAAUAUUUGAUGUUUCAUUUUCACCACCAAGGAUAUUUAUUCCAAGAAUAAACCCAAGCCUCCCUUCCAUGACAAUCAUUAUAACUGUUUGAUUAACAGCACACACUGUCAUGAGGUGAUGCCUAAUUGUGCACCACACUUUCUCUCAUUAUGUAGGGAAGCAAAGACACGGCACAUUAAAUUAAGACCAGAGAAAUUAAUGUUUUUUAAUAAGAUCUCUGUCUUGUGUAUCUCCGUUGCUUUCACGGGUGAACUUCAAUGGCUUAGCUUCAUGAUGAAAAAAG